GCUGACUACACGCACCCUGCCAUCCCCGCCCUCAUCCGCGCACGCGUCGGACGCUCGCCAUGCUUGCCGCCCUCCCCUCCGGCCCUUCCCUCGCGCACGCUCGGGAAAAAGUCUAGCCCCCAAACUCCCCAGCGGGGGCGAGCCUGGGAGGAAGAGCCAUCGCCACCAUGUAUGGCAGAACCACCCGCGACCGCCUCGCUCCCCUUCAGCCCUUCUGUCGCGCGCGCUUGGAAAAAAGUCUAGCCCCCAAACUCCCUAGCGGGGGUGAGCCUGGGAGGAAGAGCUGCCGCCGCCAUGUAUGGCAGAAUCACCCACGACCGCCUCGCACUGUUUCGUUGUGAAGCCGCCCGACUGGACGAUGAACCUGAUGAUCUGGCACUGCACCAUCCCCGGCAAGCAAGGGGAAGCAUCAUAGUCAUGGGAGGAGGGGAAGAGACAAAGGCACGAGAGGGAUGCUGAUCGUGGCCAGAUUAUGUACAUUAUUUAUGGAAUUAUGCUAGAUUCACCAGUCAUGCAGUUUUGGUAGAUUCUGGAAACUCUUCUUCAAUAGAAAGAUUUUUUAUUGUUCACACCUUCCAUUUUGGACAUCGUCUUUAGCACAUGUCUUUGACUUUUUUUCCUAAACAUUUGCUACUAAAACUUGCUG